GUCCACGCCGUAAACGAUGGAUACUAGCUGUUCGGGUUUACCUGAGUGGCUAAGCGAAAGUGAUAAGUAUCCCACCUGGGGAGUACGGGCGCAAGCCUGAAACUCAAAGGAAUUGACGGGGCCCGCACAAGCGGUGGAGCAUGUGGUUUAAUUCGAUGAUACGCGAGGAACCUUACCAGGGCUUAAAAUGUAAGUUGCAUUAGGUGGAGACACUUAUUUCUUCGGACCACUUACAAGGUGCUGCAUGGUUGUCGU
rnacentral:rRNA from 1 species